AAAAGAAGAAGAUAAAGAUUAAACAAACAU
rnacentral:sRNA from 1 species